CGGUAGGAAAUGACGUUAUAGUCCCUUUACUUGUUAACUUAACCAGUUGGAGCUGGUUAGAACAAAAUCGGUAGGACGUUACAGUCCCUUUACUUGUUAACUUAACCAAACCAGUUGUGGGUGAAGUUAGUAAGUCAUACCCGUACCCAGCUUCCCUGCCCUUUCUUCUUCUUCUUCGUUCUCCUCUGGGUUCAAUCUUCAUCGAUGGAAGGGAAAUCGAAUUCAGGGAGGUACACAGAAUAAAUCAGGAAUAUACUUUUACUCCCCAUAGCAGAAGAAAAUAGCUAAAGAGUCUAUAGAACCGCAAUAAAAGAUUAUAGGUAAAAAGAUUUUUAUUGAGAAUUUGCCAGCAAAGAAGUUUUACAGAGCAAAGGAGUAUUAUCAUCAAUACUUAGCAAAGGGCGGUCGCUUUGGUUUUCAAGCAGUCAACUGAGAAAGGUUGCAAUGAUCCUAUUGAGUCACAUUCUAAACAAGAUGUUUUCUGUUUACAUGCAGUGUAGGUAUGUGAGGUCUCUGUGCUCUCUAUAAAAUAUAAAAAUCGAAGAAAAUAAAUAUGUUGUGGGUUUUGGCAACUUUCACAUGUAGCUACUGAACAUAUCAGAUGUGUGUAAUUGAUAUCAAGGUAUCUAUUUUAAUA